AGCGCAAGAUCGCUACUAUGGCUCCUGAGAAUCCUUUCAAGGUAAAUCUUAACCAGUCUUCCCAAGCCUGGGGGUGGCGAGUUUGGAAAGUACUAUAGCCUACCUGCUCUGAAUGAUCCAAGGAUCGAUAAGUUGCCGUACUCCGUCAGGAUCCUUUUUGAAUCGGCAAU